UGGGGCUGCUAACCAGCCUACUUGUCCUGGCAGGAGUCAAUGGAGUUUGGGAAGAUUCCUUCAUUCAGUCCUUUCUAAUUGCUCCCAAAAUGUCUGGAAGGUGGUGCUGUGUCUCCUCGCCAGCGGCUAGAACUGCAGAGUCCAUUAGGGUGAGAAUCACCUGGCAUCCCUAGUCAAUGGAAUUGAUGUCACUAUAGUCCCAGUUUGACCAGCAGUCAUCUUCCAUAAUCAUUAGGCUGAAUCAGAACAAAACAAGCUCUUGAGUGAGACACAAUGCCUUUCUGAUUUCCUUUCAUACAUGGUGUCAUGGCAACAGGAAGAAUUCAAAACUAAUCAUAAUCCAGACAAGAUGGCCUC